AUUGAACGCUGGCGGCAUGCUUUACACAUGCAAGUCGAACGGCAGCGCGGGCUUCGGCCUGGCGGCGAGUGGCGAACGGGUGAGUAAUGCAUCGGAAUGUGCCCAGUAGUGGGGGAUAGCCCGGCGAAAGCCGGACUAAUACCGCAUACGACCUGAGGGUGAAAGCGGGGGACCGAAAGGCCUCGCGCUAUUGGAGCGGCCGAUGUCGGAUUAGCUAGUUGGUGGGGUAAAGGCUUACCAAGGCGACGAUCCGUAGCUGGUCUGAGAGGACGACCAGCCACACUGGGACUGAGACACGGCCCAGACUCCUACGGGAGGCAGCAGUGGGGAAUGUUGGACAAUGGGGGCAACCCUGAUCCAGUCAUGCCGCGUGCGGGAAGAAGGCCUUCGGGUUGUAAAGCGCUUUUGUUCGGGAAGAAACCCUCUGGGCUAAUACCCCGGGGGGAUGACGGUACCGGAAGAAUAAGCACCGGCUAACUACGUG
rnacentral:rRNA from 1 species